rnacentral:rRNA from 1 species
AACGAACGCUGGCGGCGCGCCUAAUACAUGCAAGUCGAGCGAGAAGACGUAGCAAUACGUUUGUAAAGCGGCGAACGGGUGAGGAAUACAUGGGUAACCUACCCUCGAGUGGGGAAUAACUAGCCGAAAGGUUAGCUAAUACCGCGUACGCUCCUUGGACUUCGGUUCAGGGAGGAAAGCGAUACCGUGGGUAUCGCGCUCUUGGAUGGGCUCAUGUCCUAUCAGCUUGUUGGUGAGGUAACGGCUCACCAAGGCUUCGACGGGUAGCUGGUCUGAGAGGACAAUCAGCCACACUGGCACUGCGACACGGGCCAGACUCCUACGGGAGGCAGCAGUAAGGAAUAUUGCGCAAUGGGCGAAAGCCUGACGCAGCGACGCCGCGUGGGGGAUGAAGGUCUUCGGAUUGUAAACCCCUUUCGGGAGGGAAGA